rnacentral:rRNA from 1 species
GAUGAACGCUGGCGGCGUGCCUAAUACAUGCAAGUCGAGCGAACGGACGAGAAGCUUGCUUCUCUGAUGUUAGCGGCGGGCGGGUGAGUAACACGUGGAUAACCUACCUAUAAGACUGGGAUAACUUCGGGAAACCGUAGCUAAUACCGGAUAAUAUUUUGAACCGCAUGGUUCAAAAGUGAAAGACGGUCUUGCUGUCACUUAUAGAUGGAUCCGCGCUGCAUUAGCUAGUUGGUAAGGUAACGGCUUACCAAGGCAACGAUGCAUAGCCGACCUGAGAGGGUGAUCGGCCACCCUGGAACUGAGACACGGUACAGACUGCUACGGGAGGCAGCAGUAGGGAAUCUUCCGCAAUGGGCGAAAGCCUGACGGAGCAACGCCGCGUGAGUGAUGAAGGUCGUCGGAUCGUGAAACUCUGUUAUUAGGGAAGAACAUAUGUGUAAGUAACUGUGCACAUCUUUACGGUACCUAAUCAGAAAGCCACGGCUAACUUCGUGC